UACACAAUGUGGCUACUGCUGAACACCUGCU
rnacentral:piRNA from 1 species